GCCAGUGUGGCUCAGUGGGCAGAGUGUCGGCCUGUGGACGAAAGGGGCCCAGGUUCGAUUCCUGGUCAGGGCA
rnacentral:tRNA from 1 species